GAUCAUGCCUCAGGAUGAACGCUAGCUACAGGCUUAACACAUGCAAGUCGAGGGGCAGCAUGGUCUUAGCUUGCUAAGGCCGAUGGCGACCGGCGCACGGGUGAGUAACACGUAUCCAACCUGCCGUCUACUCUUGGACAGCCUUCUGAAAGGAAGAUUAAUCCAGGAUGGGAUCAUGAGUUCACAUGUCCGCAUGAUUAAAGGUAUUUUCCGGUAGACGAUGGGG
rnacentral:rRNA from 1 species